CAAGAAUUAAUAAGGACAGUUGAUCUUGGUCCUUUCACGCACAUUGUGGAUGAUGGAUUUGAGUUGAGAAAGGUUGCUUUUGAAUGUGUGGACACAUUGCUUGAUAGUUGUCUUGACCAAGUGAAUCCUUCCAUCUUUUAUUGUUCCAUACCUGAAAUCCAGUCUGGAUGAUCAUUAUGAUGUCAAAAUGCCUCACCACCUUAUCCUUUCAAAACUUGCGGAUUAGUGUCCAUCUGCUGUAUUGGCAGUGUUGGAUUCAUUGGUGGAUCCUCUGCCGAAGACUAUUAAUUUUAAGCCAAAGCAAGAUGCUGUCAAGCAAGAAGUAGAUCAUAAUGAAGACAUGAUCCGCAGUGCUCUAAGAGCAAUUGCAUCAUUGAAUCGCAUAAGGUUUAGUUAUUUUCUUUAUCGGGCCCUUUUUUUUGGUGUCGUCCUAUUUGUUGUGUUGUUUCUUGCCCAUUCCUAAUUUUUCAGGUAGUUUAACCCCCUAUUACUGUCCUUUAUUUUGAAGAUUGGGAGUGGUCAUAUAGGCCGUGUGAACUAGCCUCUUGUUCAGACUCGGCUUUGUGGGCCAAAAUUCUGAUCCUGAGGA